rnacentral:lncRNA from 1 species
GUGAUGAUGAUGAUGAGAAUGAUGAUUUUGCUUUUGAUUUUAGUGGUCAGUUGGAGAGAAGUUCUGUAUCAGCUGCUGAUGAGCUUUUUGAUGGUGGAAAAAUCAAGCCUUUGAAAUUGAAGCCACCACCAAGGUUACAGUAUGAAGGCAAACCAUUUGAUUCGCCGAAAUCUCCAAAGAAAAAGUUCAAGCAAGCUUUCUCUCCCCGAAACAAGAAGAAAGAAUUAGAUCCAUUUGCAGCAGCCCUAGAGCAGAGUAGUCGAACAGAAAAUGAUCGUCCUGGUAGGGAAAGAACUCAGAAAUCUACAACUUCUUCAAGGCACAAAAAGACAAGAUCUUUAUCUCCUUUCAGAGCUUCCGAUCUACUGUUUGAUAGUGAAAGCAAGCAAGAAAAUACAAACAUAUCUGAUUCUUCUUCUUCAUUUUCAUCAAUGAUAACACUAUGGUACAGAAAAUGGAAGCUGAAAGACCUGUUUCUAUUCAGAAGCGCGUCAGAGGGUAGAGCAACUAAUAAAGAUCAGUUAAACAGGUUUUUGAAGAAAACUCAUAGUAAAGAGGAUGCGAAGACUUCAAGCUUUAGAUCAACUGGUAGUAGUGUUGGAUCGUCAUCGGUAUCAAGCUCCUUGAGGAAGAGGGAGGUUUCGGCUCAUGAGUUGCAUUACACGUUGAAUAGGGCACUCUCGGAGGAGAUGAAGAGGAAAACUUUCUUGCCAUACAAGAAUGGCGUACUGGGUUGCUUAGGCUUCGUUCCUUCAUUGGAUGAUACAAGUUUUAGAGGUGUUGCUUCUUCUAUGUCCAUGACUCGUCGUUAAUAAGUCUCUAUCUGUAAGAAACCAAAAAACAUUAAAUAGUAAAGUUACUAUGGAUUCGUUUACGUGUUUUUUGGUAAGACUCUUAUAUAUUGUGCAUAAGACAUUCACCCCAAAUCUCCUAUGCAGAAAAUUAUUUCUAUACUACUACUACUACUACCUUUUAGAUAUUAAUCUGGGCACGCUAGAGGAUAGUUCAAUAUUUAGAGAAUUUAUAAACUCGCGACAUGAUGAAAAACAAUAUCUGAUCAACUCAUCAUAACAGUUCAUGUUUAAUUUCUGUGCUCUUAUGUUAAUUACUCGAAUUGCUACACUGCUCGAAUCUCCAGCCCCUCCGAAAACGAGCAUCCCCACAAAAGAAAAAAUGCAUGCUGCUUACACAGAGAAAGCAUCACGUCAUAUAAGGGAAAUGUUCCUUUCCAAUCGAUAGGAUCUUCAUUGUAUAUCAGAGUCCACGAAUAUGCCUUCAUUUUCUUUUGUUUUUGUCGAGGUUAGGUUUUACGUCCCCUCUUUAGUGAUUAAUCUAUGAAUUUUAAUUUACAAGGUAGGGGUCCAUUGCCAAACCCUCUGCCACCUAAAAGAGUGAUUUAAAAAAAAAACAUCACGUGCCGUCUAUAGAAUGAAAAGUUUCUUUCUUGCAACAAACUAGUCCUUUCUUUUUUCAUUUUAUGUGACAUUCUUUUAUUUUUUAUCCUUACAAAAAAUGAUAUAUUUUCUGUUAUUUAGAAAUAAUACAUUUUUAAACUUCUUAUUUUGUGGUUUCGGGACUUGAAACAGGUUUGUUAUGUUAUUUGGAACUCGUGUGUAAAAUUUGGAGUCAUUCCGAGUUGGUUAGACAUGGUUCGACAUGAGUUUUGAAGUUGGAAGUUGACUAGUUCAUUAAGCUUGACUUGAGGUGCGAUUUGUAGUUUUGAUGUUAUUUUGUGUGACUUGAGACCUCGAAUAAGUCUAUGUUAUGUUUUGGGAUUGGUUGGUAUAACUGGACGAGGUCUCAGGGGGCUCGGGAGUGUUUCGGAUAUAUUUUAGUUCAUUUGAGCUUGGUUGGAUAGCUGAAGAUUUGUUGGCGUCUAGAUGUUGAUGUUUGGCGAAAAUCCAUGUUUUUUGCAUGUAAAUUGCUUGCAUUAUGCCUCGAUAUUGUUAAAGUUAGUGCAAAUAUUUGUGACUCAAGCUUAAUAAUGAUGUUUAUAUGUAUAGGGGUCAAUCGGAGGUAAUACGGAAGGAUUGUGCGCAAAUUGAAGCCAAAAGAGAAGAAUUUAGAGGGAGUAUGAUUUUUGGCAUCCAGGUUCGAGCUAGGCCAGGUCAAAAUACAAAAGACAUCACAAGAUAGAGUUGGGCGCCCAGCUUAGCGCGAAGCGCCCUCCGUGGCGCCCAAGCAAGAAACUUUUCCUACUUCGGCUAGGACUUGGUAGUUUCGCCAUUACACUCCCCCAACAUGUAUAAAAGGGGUUCUAAACCUCUUUUUUAGAGGUUAGACAUUAUUAUUCGGGAGGCGAAAGAUGACUGUAACAUUUGCAAAGCACCAGAUCAUACGGGUUCUUCUUCCAUACUUUCUUAGUUUGUAGAUUAAUGCUUUCAAUUAUUAACGUGAUUGUUAGCAUGACUAUGAGUAGCUAAAUUUCUUUCUAGGGUUUUGAUGGAACAUUUUGAAGGAUAAAUUCUUGAUAUGGUUUCAUAUAAUUAGCCUUUGGAUUUCUCUACUUGUUUAAUUACGUG